AUUGAACGCUGGCGGCAUGCCUUACACAUGCAAGUCGAACGGCAGCAUGGAGAGCUUGCUCUCUGAUGGCGAGUGGCGAACGGGUGAGUAAUGCAUCUGAACGUACCGUGUAAUGGGGGAUAACGUAGCGAAAGUUACGCUAAUACCGCAUACGACCUGAGGGUGAAAGCAGGGGAUCGCAAGACCUUGCGUUAUACGAGCGGCCGAUGUCAGAUUAGCUAGUUGGUGAGGUAAAGGCUCACCAAGGCGACGAUCUGUAGCGGGUCUGAGAGGAUGAUCGGCCACACUGGGACGGAGACACGGCCCAGUCUCAUACGGGAGGCAGCAGUGGGGGAUUGUGGACAAUGGUGGCAACCCUGAUCCAGCCAUGCCGGGUGAGUGAAGAAGGCCUUCGGGUUGUAAAGCUCUUUCGGCCGGGAAGAAAUCGCACAGGCUAAUACUCUGUGUGGAUGACGGUACCGGCAUAAAAAGCACCGGAUAACUACGUGCCAGCCGCCGCCGUAA
rnacentral:rRNA from 1 species